CUUCACCUAUGCCAAUUUAUAUCUUAGGGAAGGAUUGAAUAAAUUGUAAAUUAAAACUUUAUAAUUCAAAUUCAUGCAUGAAGAAAUGAGAUGAUGCUAUUUCCUACUCAUUUCUAAGCUCACCUUUGAUUUUCAAGCUUGGUGCAUAUGGAACCCUAAACUUUUCUUCUUCAAUUCUUUCACUAUAUGGCUGUUCCUUUAGCUCUUGAUCUUAGGAUGAAUUUUGGUUAAAGGAAGAAGUUGUUUUGGUAAGGUUUUGGCUUGGCUUUGGUGGGAGAAAGAAAAGCAAAUGUUUUUCUUCUUUGAAGUUGGAUGACCUACGGCAACAUGGACAAAGGAAGAAGACAAUCCCUUUUCUUUCUUUUGCAUUGUCAUUUCUUCUCUCCUU
rnacentral:lncRNA from 1 species